rnacentral:rRNA from 1 species
ACUCGAGUGGCGAACGGGUGAGUAACACGUGGGUGAUCUGCCCUGUACUUCGGGAUAAGCUUGGGAAACUGGGUCUAAUACCGGAUAGGAGCCAUCUUUAGUGUGGUGGUUGGAAAGUUUUUCGGUGUAGGAUGAGCUCGCGGCCUAUCAGCUUGUUGGUGGGGUAAUGGCCUACCAAGGCGGCGACGGGUAGCCGGCCUGAGAGGGUGUACGGCCACAUUGGGACUGAGAUACGGCCCAG